AUGCCGGUAAAUAUUCCAAGAAGGUCACCAUCCUCUUCCUCCGCAACCGCUUACCUCACUAACCACGUACGUAAGGUGCCCGCGCCUAUAUUACCACCACCCUUCGCCGCUUCACCUCUCAUUAAUCCACCAACACCACCGCUUGCUCCCCUUCAUAUCGUAGAUUGUUGUUGCAUUGCCCUGGAGGAGACGAGGUCAUUAGUCGAUUACCAGCUGCCGAUCUGUUGCGGAUUAAUUGGGCAGAAGGCAGUCGGUGAUCUCUUGAUUGAUUUGCGCACCAUGAAAUUCGGAAAGUGGCUCAAGCGGCAGAUCGAGCAGAGCCUCCCGGCGUGGAAGGACGAGUUUCUGAGCUACAACGAGCUCAAGCCCGUCAUCGGCGCCGUCUCGCCGGCCGAGUUCGUCGCCCGCCUCGACGUUGAGAUCGAGAAGAUCAACGCCUUCUUCAUCGAGCAGGAGGAGUUCUUCAUCAUCACACACAGGGAGCUGCAGGGGGCGAUCAGGAGCGCGCUGGAGAGGAAGCCGGCGGUGCCGGCGGCGGCGCACGAGGCGGAGAUCGCGGCGAUCCGGAGGGAGAUCGUUAACUUCCACGGCGAGAUGGUGCUGCUGCUCAACUACAGCAGCGUCAACUACAUCGGCCUGGCCAAGAUCCUCAAGAAGUAUGACAAGCGCACGGGCGCCGGGAUCCGGCUCGCCGUCAUCGAGACCGUGCUAGUGCAGCCCUUCUUCACGGCGGAGGCGGUGUCCCUGAUGGUGAGGGAGUGCGAGGCCAUGAUGGAGGCGGUGUUCCCCACGGCGCCCGGCGAGGGGCAGGCGGCGGCGCGGCGGGACCGCGAGGCCCUGGUCGCCGCGGAGCAGAGGAUCUUCCGCAACACCGUGUCGGCGCUCCUGGCCAUGCAGGACGUGCGCAGCGGCAGCUCCACGCGCGGCCGCCACUCGCUGCCGCCGCUCAACCUGCCUGACUCGGACUGGCUCCGCUCCUUCUAG
rnacentral:rRNA from 1 species